UACAGAGGGUGCUAGCGUUGUUCGGAAUCAUUGGGCGUAAAGGGCGUGUAGGCGGUUUGUUAAGUCAUGUGUGAAAUCCCUCGGCUCAACCGGGGAACGACGCAUGAAACUGGCAAGCUAGAGUACCAAAGAGGGGGGGUGGAAUUCCCGGUGUAGCGGUGGAAUGCGCAGAUAUCAGGAAGAACACCAACGGCGAAGGCAGCUCGCUGGGACGGUACUGACGCUGAGACGCGAAAGCGUGGGGAGCGAACAGG
rnacentral:rRNA from 1 species